rnacentral:rRNA from 1 species
CCUACGGGAGGCAGCAGUGGGGGAUAUUGCACAAUGGGGGAAACCCUGAUGCAGCGACGCCGCGUGGGCGAAGAAGUCUUUCGGUAUGUAAAGCCCUAUCAGCAGGGAAGAAGAAAGGACGGGACCUGAGUAAGAAGCACCGGCUAAAUACGUGCCAGCAGCCGCGGUAAUACGUCGGGUGCAAGCGUUAUCCGGAUUUACUGGGUGGAAAGGGAGCGCAGGCGGCACGGCAAGCCUGAUGUGAAAGCCCGCGGCCCCACCGCGGGACUGCAUUGGGAACUACCGGGCGGGAGUGCCGGAGCGGUCGGCUGACUUCCUCGUGUAGCGGUGUCAUGCGUAGAUCUUAG